rnacentral:lncRNA from 1 species
ACAUCCUUAUCACUCAGGAAAUUCCAGGAAUUUUUGAAGCUCUGUGCCAGGAACCAAGGACUAAGACCAAAUAUAUUUUUAUUUUUAUUUAUUAUUUAUUUAUUUAUUUAUUUUUUGAGAUGGAGUUUCGCUCUUGUUGCCCAGGCUGGAGUGCAAUGGUGAGAUCUCUGCUCACUGCAACCUCCACCUCCCAGGUUCAAGGGAUUCUUGUGCCUCAGCCUCCUGAGUAGCUGAGAUUACAGGCACCCACCACCACGUCCGGCUAAGUUGUUGUUUUUUGUUUUUGUUCUUGUUUUUUUGAGAGAUGGAGUCUUGAUCUGUCACCCAGGCUGGAGUGGAGUGGCGGUAUCUCGGCUCACUGCAACCUCCACCUCCCGGGUUUGAGCGAUUCUCCUGCCUCAGCUUCCCAAGUAGCUGGGACCACAGACGUUUGCCACCACUCCCAGUUAAUUUUUGUAUUUUUUUAGUAGAGUUGGGGUUUCACUAUAUGUUGGCCAGCCUGGUCUCAAACUCCUGACCUCAGGUGAUCUGCCCACCUCGGCCUCCCAAAGUGUUGGGAUUAUAGGCGUGAGCCACCGUGCCUGGCCAAUUUUUUGUAUUUUUUUGUAGAGACGGGGUUUCACCAUGUUGGCCAGGCUGGUCUUGAAUUCCUGGCCUCAGGUUAUCCGCCUGCCUGAGCCUCCCAAAGUGCUGGAUUACAGGCAUGACCCACCAAACCCAGCCCAAAUAUAUUUGCAUAUAUAUAUAUUUUAAUAUCCCACGCCUACACUCUGGGAUAACUCAGCUCUUACAGGCAGUAAUCAUGGGUCAGACCUGCCAUUAUCCAGUUCAGCCCAUUUCAUUUGACAGACACCUGGUGAAUAGAGACAUGCAGGGACUCUUGUCCACAUUUGCCCAGUUGGCUGAUAGCACAGUGUACAAAGUCUGUCUGCAGCAGGUCAUAAUUUCACAGCUCUGCCACAUGCAUGUAUAUCACUGUACCAAGCGUGUUCACAUGGUAUGGUGCUGACACAUGUUGACGGAAUGUGGUACAGACCCUCUGUGUGAAGUGUGUUCACACAGUGCGGUGCUGACCCUCUGUAUGAAGCGUGUUCACACGGUGCGGUGCUGACUCUCUGUAUGAAGCGUGUUCACCUGGUGCAGGACAGACUCUCUGCAUGAAGCAUGUUCACACAGUGCGGUGCUGACCCUCUGUAUGAAGCAUGUUCACACAAUGCGGUGCUGACCUUCUGUAUGAAGCGUGUUCACACAGUGCAGUGCUGACCUUCUGUAUGACACAUGUUCACAGAGUGAGGUGCUGAUCUUCUGUAUGAAGCAUGUUCACAUGGUGCAGUACUGACUCUCUGUUUGAAGUGUGUUCACACAGUGAGGUGCUGAUCUUCUGUAUGAAGCAUGUUCACACGGUGCAGUACUGACUCUCUGUAUGAAGUGUGUUCACACGGUGCGGUGCUGACUCUCUGUAUGAAGCGUGUUCACACAGUGCGGUGCUGACUCUCUGUAUGAAGCAUGUUCACACGGUGCGGUGCUGACUCUCUGUAUGAAGUGUGUUCACCUGGUGCAGUACAGGCUCUCUGCAUGAAGCAUGUUCACACAGUGCGGUGCUGACCCUCUGUAUGAAGCGUGUUCACACAGUGCAUGUGAAACCAGAACCGACAGUCGAACCCAAGCAGAAGUCUUGACCAAGCACUUCCCUCCUGGGAAUGCACCAUGAUAUCACCACACCGAAGUCCAGGCUGGCAAAUAGGGACAUUUAAGUGACAUUUAAGCUCGUGGUGGCCCUAUGAGGAGUCAUUGCUGACUGAGAUGGGAUUUUAAGGUGUUGCCUGCCUGUGUGUUCUCAGACCCUCUCCUGAAGCCCCACCCCUUCCCCUGAUCCUCUCCUGGGACCCCCCUCCCCUAUCCCUGACCCUCUCCUGGAUCCCCUCCCCUUUCCCUGACCCUCUCCUGGAGCCCCCUCCCCUCUCCCUGU